UUACGGGAGGCAGCAGUGAGGAAUUGUUCGCAAUGGGCGCAAGCCUGACGACGCAAUGCCGUGUGGAGGACGAAGAUUUUCGGAUCGUAAACUCCUGUCGAGCGGGACGAACGGCCUGGGGGCUAAUACCCUCUGGGAGUGACGGUACCGCUAAAGGAAGCCCCGGCUAACUCCGUGCCAGCAGCCGCGGUAAUACGGGGGGGGCAAGCGUUGUUCGGAAUUACUGGGCGUAAAGGGCGCGUAGGCGGCCUUCUAAGUCAGACGUGAAAUCCCUCGGCUUAACCGGGGAACUGCGUCUGAUACUGGAGGGCUUGGAUCCGGGAGAGGGAUGCGGAAUUCCAGGUGUAGCGGUGAAAUGCGUAGAUAUCUGGAGGAACACCGGUGGCGAAGGCGGCAUCCUGGACCGGCAUCGACGCUGAGGCGCGAAAGCCAGGGGAGCAAACGGGAUUAGAUACCCGCGUAGUCCA
rnacentral:rRNA from 1 species